AUUGAACGCUGGCGGCAGGCCUAACACAUGCAAGUCGAACGGUAACAGGAAGCAGCUUGCUGCUUUGCUGACGAGUGGCGGACGGGUGAGUAAUGUCUGGGAAACUGCCUGAUGGAGGGGGAUAACUACUGGAAACGGUGGCUAAUACCGCAUAACGUCGCAAGACCAAAGAGGGGGACCUUCGGGCCUCUUGCCAUCAGAUGUGCCCAGAUGGGAUUAGCUUGUUGGUGAGGUAACGGCUCACCAAGGCGACGAUCCCUAGCUGGUCUGAGAGGAUGACCAGCCACACUGGAACUGAGACACGGUCCAGACUCCUACGGGAGGCAGCAGUGGGGAAUAUUGCACAAUGGGCGCAAGCCUGAUGCAGCCAUGCCGCGUGUAUGAAGAAGGCCUUCGGGUUGUAAAGUACUUUCAGCGGGGAGGAAGGUGUUGUGGUUAAUAACCGCAGCAAUUGACGUUACCCGCAGAAGAAGCACCGGCUAACUCCGUGCCAGCAGCCGCGGUAAUACGGAGGGUGCAAGCGUUAAUCGGAAUUACUGGGCGUAAAGCGCACGCAGGCGGUCUGUCAAGUCGGAUGUGAAAUCCCCGGGGCUCAACCUGGGAACUGCAUUCGAAACUGGCAGGCUUGAG
rnacentral:rRNA from 1 species